AGACACUCUCCAAAAGUGGUCAAGGCCGCAUCUCAGGUCCUCAACAGCAUGUGGCAGUACCGAGAUCUGAGGAGUCUCUACAAAAAGGAUGGAUGGUCACAAUACCACUUUGUAGCCUCGUCUUCAACCAUCGAGAGGGACCGGCAAAGGCCCUACUCCUCCUCCCGCACGCCCUCCAUCUCCCCUGUGCGCGUGUCUCCCAACAACCGCUCAGCUCAAAACACUGGAAUUUCAACUUUGUAUAGGAAUUCAUAUGGUGCGCCCGCUGAAGACAUCAAACACAACCAGGUUUCAGCACAGCCAGUCCCACAGGAGCCCAGCAGAAAAGAUUACGAGACCUACCAGCCAUUUCAGAAUUCCACAAGAAAUUACGAUGAGUCCUUCUUCGAGGACCAGGUCCACCAUCGCCCUCCCG
rnacentral:sRNA from 1 species